UGGGGAAUAUUGCGCAAUGGGGGCAACCCUGACGCAGCAACGCCGCGUGCAGGAAGAAGGUCUUCGGAUUGUAAACUGUUGUCGCAAGGGAAGAAGACAGUGACGGUACCUUGUGAGAAAGUCGCGGCUAACUACGUGCCAGCAGCCGCGGUAAUACGUAGGUGACAAGCGUUGUCCGGAUUUACUGGGUGUAAAGGGCGCGUAGGCGGACUGUCAAGUCAGUCGUGAAAUACCGAAGCUUAACUUCGGGGCUGCGAUUGAAACUGACAGCCUUGAGUAUCGGAGAGGAAAGCGGAAUUCCUAGUGUAGCGGUGAAAUGCGUAGAUAUUAGGAGGAACACCAGUGGCGAAGGCGGCUUUCUGGACGACAACUGACGCUGAGGCGCGAAAGUGUGGGGAGCAAACAGGAUUAGAUACCC
rnacentral:rRNA from 1 species